AGGCUUUGAUCCUGGCUCAGGACGAACGCUGGCGGCGUGCCUAACACAUGCAAGUUGAACGGACCGACACACCGGACCUUUCGGGGGAAGGUGUGAAAGGUGAGUAGCGGACGGGUGAGUAACACGUGGGCAAUCUGCCCUUUAGACUGGGAUAACACCGGGAAACCGGUGCUAAUACCGGAUGAGAUCCAGCCCUGGCAUCUGGGCUGGAUGAAAGGAGGCCUCUCUAUAGAAGCUCCCGCUAAAGGAUGAGCCCGCGGCCCAUUAGCUGGUUGGUAGGGUAAUGGCCUACCAAGGCGACGAUGGGUAGCCGGCCUGAGAGGGUGAACGGCCACACUGGGACUGAGACACGGCCCAGACUCCUACGGGAGGCAGCAGUGGGGAAUAUUGCGCAAUGGGGGAAACCCUGACGCAGCAACGCCGCGUGAACGACGAAGGCCUUCGGGUCGUAAAGUUCUGUCAAGUGGGACGAAGUCUGUACGGUGAACAGCCGUGCAGGUGACGGUACCUAAAGAGGAAGCUCCGGCUAAAA
rnacentral:rRNA from 1 species